rnacentral:rRNA from 1 species
UACGAAGGGGGCUAGCGUUGCUCGGAAUUACUGGGCGUAAAGGGAGCGUAGGCGGACAGUUUAGUCAGAGGUGAAAGCCCAGGGCUCAACCCUGGAACUGCCUUUGAUACUGGAUGUCUUGAGUGUGAGAGAGGUAUGUGGAACUCCGAGUGUAGAGGUGAAAUUCGUAGAUAUUCGGAAGAACACCAGUGGCGAAGGCGACAUACUGGCUCAUUACUGACGCUGAGGCUCGAAAGCGUGGGGAGCAAACAGG